UGGGGAAUCUUGCGCAAUGGGGGAAACCCUGACGCAGCGACGCCGCGUGCGGGAUGAAGGCCUUCGGGUUGUAAACCGCUUUCAGCAGGGACGAGGCCUUAUGGUGACGGUACCUGCAGAAGAAGCUCCGGCUAAAUACGUGCCAGCAGCCGCGGUAAUACGUAUGGAGCAAGCGUUAUCCGGAUUCAUUGGGCGUAAAGCGCUCGUAGGCGGUCUGUUAGGUCGGCAAGUUAAAUCCGGGGGCUCAACCCCCGUCCGCUUCCGAUACCGGCAGACUUGAGUUUGGUAGGGGAAGGUGGAAUUCCUAGUGUAGCGGUGGAAUGCGCAGAUAUUAGGAGGAACACCGGUGGCGAAGGCGGCUAUCUGGACAGUAACUGACGCUGAGGGGCGAAAGCGUGGGGAGCAAACAGG
rnacentral:rRNA from 1 species